GCCAAACACUCGCAUUAGGAUACUACAGCACUCAAGUUCUUCAGCUGUCUCUGGGUGAGAAACAAGAAAAGCUGGGAUAAGAAAUUAGGAUUCUUUUUCUGACAAAUAUUCCAAUGUACUUCUGGGGUCUGAGCAAGCUUUUGUGUCUUGGAAAUUCACCAGAUUUAGAGCCAUCUGAAGAGUCCUCGUUGCUAUGGCAAUACUGUCCUUCCACAAUGAAUCCUUCUUGAAGGAAGUUCAGCCGAUUACCAAAUGAGAGAAAAGGGCAUCAGCAAGCUUCGUUAAAACAGAGAAGAAUGAGAUUUCAGCUCCUUGGGAAGAAGUCAGCAAUCUCCUGGAUGCACAGCUGAUGCUGAAUGCCCCCAGAUCCCCAACACCUGCAAACAUAAUAGAGAGAUCACCAAUUAUCUCCAGUUUUUGCUCGAGAAGGGGAUUCAGAGAUGAAUAGCUCACUCUGCAGAAGGUCUGCCUUGCUUAUUAUUUUCCUCAUUUACCACUAAAUACAUUUGGGUUCAUU
rnacentral:lncRNA from 7 species